rnacentral:siRNA from 1 species
UGAUAGUUGGGUCACUGUUGU